rnacentral:rRNA from 1 species
AGAUAUGAUCCAGAGUACCACGGGACACGUGAAACCCUGUGGGAAGCAGGAGGGACCACCCUCCAAGGCUAAAUACUACCUAGUGACCGAUAGCGUAUAGUACCGUGAGGGAAAGGUGAAAAGAACCCCGGGAGGGGAGUGAAAUAGAACCUGAAACCCUGCACUUACAAGCUGUGGAAGCACAUUUCUUGUGUGACCGCGUACUUUUUGUAGAACGGGCCAACGAGUUACGUUAAGUAGCAAGGUUAAGCACUUAAGGUGCGGAGCCGUAGCGAAAGCGAGUUUUAACUGAGCGUUCAGUUACUUGACGUAGACCCGAAACCGGGCGACCUACCCAUGAGCAGGAUGAAGCGAAAGUAAAAUUUCGUGGAGGUCCGAACCCACGAGCGUUGAAAAGCUCGGGGAUGACUUGUGGGUAGCGGUGAAAUUCCAAUCGAGCCCGGAGAUAGCUGGUUCUCCCCGAAAUAGCUUUAGGGCUAGCCUCAAGGUGAGAGAUACGGAGGUAGAGCACUGAAUGUCCUAGGGGGUAUUGCACCUACCGAAGACUAUCAAACUCCGAAUGCCGUCAUCUUAUACUUGGGAGUCAGACUGUGGGUGAUAAGAUUCAUAGUCGAAAGGGCAACAGCCCAGAUCGUCAGCUAAGGUCCCUAAAUGUAAGUUAAGUGGUAAAGGAUGUGGGAUUGCACAGACAACCAGGAUGUUGGCUUAGAAGCAGCCACUCAUUCAAAGAGUGCGUAAUAGCUCACUGGUCGAGUGAUCCUGCGCCGAAGAUUUCCGGGGCUAAAACUUACUACCGAAGCUACGGCAUCAGUAAUGAUGGGUAGGGGAGCUUCCCAUACGGGUUGAAGCAUGACCGUAAGGACAUGUGGACAGUAUGGGAGUGAGAAUGUUGGCAUGAGUAGCGAGAUGUGGGUGAGAAUCCCACAGGCCGUAAACCCAAGGUUUCCAGGGGAAGGUUCGUCCGCCCUGGGUUAGUCGGGACCUAAGCUGAGGCCGAAAGGCGUAGGUGAUGGACAACAGGUUGAUAUUCCUGUACUACCGAUAACCGUUUGAGAGAAGGGAUGACACAGUAGGAUAAGCUAAGCACACUGUUGGUUAUGUGUGCCCAAGCAUUGAGGCAGUCAAAG